GCCAUGUAAGGAUUCUGAACAGGGAGGUAGUGUCUGAUUUUUAUUUUUAAGUGAUUUCUUGGCUGUUCUGUACAGAAUUGCCUGUACUGGGCAAAGCACAACAUCUGGCCAGAAGCCAUGGCACUUGUGCCAGUCUGGGCCGGUAGCCAGAGAAGUAGUGAGUAGAGAUAGGAUGUGGGAGCAGAGCAAGAGGGAAAGGGUGCUUCCUCUGUCUGGCUUCCAACCCUAAAGGUACUGAGGAGCCCUUUCCAAAAUUGAGGCAAGGAGGCUAGCCGGACUCCUUCCACUAACACAUAUCUGAUUGGGUGCUAAAGUAGGAGGGGUCUCUCUACUACAGUAGAGGAAGAGCUGCAGAGCGUCCAGGGUAAAAGGGUAGAAGAUAAAUGGAGACAUAACGUUCCUGCCCAUGAAGCCCAUGGAUGGAGGCAGCAGGAGGCAGAGGCCAUGAGUUAAUAGGAGGGCAUUGUCCAGGGACUUCAGAGAAAUGUUGUCCAGGUUUAACCAGGGGCUGGUAGCAUGCUUGAUCAUACAGAAGGCAGAGCAACUCUUUGCCCUCCAGAGAGGGAGUGGGAUUUGGAGAGCUGCUUCAGUGAUCUAAGUUAUACCCUUAGCCAGUGUCUCCUCUAGGAGAUAAGAAAAUAAUGUUACUCAUGCUUAGAUGGACAGGGUCCCUCUGGAGGUCAGUAGUAGACUUCAAACAGUGGCAUUAAGGGAGACAGCAAGCCUGAGUGUCCCAGUUUGAAAAAAAAAAAAAAAAAA
rnacentral:sRNA from 1 species